AAUCCUUGGUGCGGGCAACAUCGAAGCAAGUCCUUGUACCUCUCCUAGGCAUCAUACAUACUUUCGUCAUCGAACUGCAUAAAAGAAGAUAUGUCAUUUCUUAAUCU
rnacentral:snoRNA from 1 species